AGCUCUUAACAUUAAAUCGCUUCAUAUGGUCAGCCUGCGAAGUGGAGACAUUGUAAGCAUCAUCAGCGUUUGAAUCCAAGCCGCAUGGUUUCGCUCCGCCAGUCAACGACUUCAAGGUGCAGUCGGAUGUGACAAACCGAAUGUCUAAAUACCUGCAACCUGUGGCCUGUCAGGAAAUGAGGAAGACAAACUGACAGCCCUCUUUUCCAUCCAAACCAGUCCAGUCCCUCCAGUGUGUACACUUCUUCAGGAAAGCC